rnacentral:lncRNA from 1 species
ACACUGUUGGAAAAGAACAUCCCAAACAGUAUUCCACAGAACUCAUCCCAUCUCAACUACAACGCUACCGGUCCCUGCUCUCUCCUCACUCUCCUCCACCAGGUGUGGGCAUCACCUGCCAAGCAAUAGACUCCCAAAGACACCUGUUCCUCCUCAGGAAUGAACAAAUCUUCAAAUAACUUCUCCAUCGCACUGACCCAUCCCUCAACAACCCAGGCCUCAGUGCAACUGCCAUCGAAAAUCGGUGGAUCGAAACGGCGGAAACGAGCCAACCUCUCCGUCCACCGCUCCUGCUCGGCCUCUGUCAACUGUACUAGCCCCCCAGCAGGCGUAACUGGCGCUACUGGAAUUACUGCUGGCAGAGGGACUGCUGCAGCUGGUGCUGUCACUGGAGUAGUCAGAGGUGGAACAGACGAGUCUGGUGCCGUCGGUGCUGAACUCUGGGGCGAAGCUAACCUCUCACACAUCCUCUCCAACAACUCCCUCUGCUGCCUCGUCACCUCAGUCAGGGCGGCUAUCUGUGCACUCAAAUCCGGGGAUGCACUCCCCUCUGGUCGAACACUCUGCUCCUGUCGGGCACUUGGCUCCACAUGCUCAGGCAUCUCGGAAGGUCUCGUACGAUCCUGCGACAACUGGGCACGCUCCCGUAACGACGGUCGACCUCGGCGACGAUACAUAGCUGAAAGGAGCAGAUCGGGGUCAGAUGAAACAUAAACACUUUCGACCCAAUCAACGAAAGUCUGGAAGGCGGUCCCUGUUUUCCUCCAAAAUUAUGUUGUCUGCAGCCAACAUAAUUUCUCAGGCCAAAACAAGCACUCCUUCAAUCACUCACCCCACUUUAGGAGGAGUUAGAAUAAUUAAUCAUUGACUUUCGCAAUAAGUUACGCCUCUCGCGUCUUGCCUUCCUAAGGUUUGCCAAACUUAGGUUUUCUAGGUCCCAACGACCUAAUGCUAAGCUCUGAUACCAACUUAAUCUGUUACGCCCCGGAUUACACGUUCCCCAGGCACGCCGACAAAUCCGCCGUAUACAAAAAAAUUUUUCCUGUAUACGAAGCGAUAGCUGUACCUGUAAAUCAUACAAUACUACAAAAAGUAGUAUAGAGCUGCUAGAAGAACCAGAAAUAAAACAAACCGAGUUCCAUAUACAUACGCCAAAUCCAAGAUACAAAACUACUCGCACUGGCGAGUUAAGUAAAAGUAUGUACAUGAACUCCAACAAAAAAACAACUACCUGCUGUAGGGGCACCUCUAGCUCGGCUCGUCGGGUAGGGCUCUAACUCGCGACGCCCUUGCCUCGAUCCUGAUCAGCAACAGCAGCAGCCGAAGACGAAGGCCCUGCAAAAACGGGGUAACAACAGGGCGUGAGAACUACUGUAAAACAAGUAGUCCUCAGUGGGUGCCGUCUUCAACAACAUCGGUCCACCCAUUAAGUCUACAGAAGGGAGCAAGGAUAGUAGUAAAUGCAGGAAUAAAAUCUACCGCUAUGAAUCACUACACUAUCAUACUCUACACUAACCAACUGUAGGAAAUGUCAAAUCUGACCCAAUCUAAUCGGGACUGUAAGCAUACCCGUCCUUGGGACUGUGAACACACCCGUCCCUGCCCAGUUGCGACUAUCCAGCUACCUCCACACUAUCUAGUCCGUGGAGAGCAAGUCCAACCGGCAUGAGCGACACAAACGCGAAAGCACAACGCGCGUCUCCGGAGUGGCACUCGUGGGAGCUACCCAACCGAGUAUGCAGCGUAUCUCUGUCGAGCUCAAUCAGGCUCUACCUCAAGCCAAAAUCCAAGUAACCGACUCUAACUGGUCUAACCACCAACAGGUCACGUGCCUUCGGCACAAUCCGUCGCAAAAAAGGCGAUACGGGUCUACCGUCAACCUCGACGGCACCCAACAGUCCGGAACAACCUGAACGCUACUAUAAAAAUAUAUUCGGCAUCCCAGCACGAACGUAACUGAAAGCUAAACUACCUAGAAUACUCACUAUGAGGAUACUGCUACAGUAUAAAAUAAUACAACGGCCCCUAGGGCUAAAUCAGGUAGUGUAACUGAUGACAGGUCCAACUCGCCGGUUUUCUCCUAAUUUAAUUUCCAAGUCCAACAUGUAUAAAUUACUUAAUUUGUUAUCACAUGCUCCAAAUUCAGAUUUGCAAUUCACAUAAUAACCCAUGAAUUCGAGCUAAAGUAAACUACACAAAAUCUGAAAUUUACACAUGUUGACUACUAAGCACUUAGGAGUAUAAGCCGAUGAUUAACCCACCUUAGUCGCUAAUCCCCGGCAGAGAGGAAGUCCCGACACAAGGGAAUACCCUGCUGGAUCAACCGAACACCUCCAAAGGCCAGAAGUCAAGCUCCCGCCAAACUCUACACGUAGAAUCCGACAAUAAGCAUCAAUUCUGCCUAAAAAAUAGCAGCAGAGAAGACUAUAAUUCCGAUCCAGAAAACCUUCACCAAAUCAAGCAAAUAAAGGUUUCGUGGAUUCCUCUCGAAGUCCUAAAUCCAACGAACCAAGUCUUGCUGCAAUCCGACCCUCCUACGUCGCGUACGAGUCGAAACGCCAACGGUCGAAGCAGAAAAUCUGCGAAACAGCAUCAUUGAGCUCGGAAGUGAUAAAGACUUGCCAUGGUUGGAGAAAUUGAUGAACAUCUCACCUCAACAGCGAUUCUAGCACCGGCGCGACGUCAAGAACGGCGAAAACGCACUCUCGCCCGGCCUCCUCGCGAUGCAACGACAACAAACGCGCGCUCGAACGGCUCCGCGGCGCGACGUCGGCGACGGAACGACUCCACCCGAGCUCCUCCACCACGCUCGGUCAUGCACAAGGAGAGGAGAGAGAGAGUGCUGAAGUCCUCUCCUCUCUGCUCUCUUUCUAUCCUAUAUAGGAUGGAGAAGGAGUGGGUGAAAACAACGAGAGAAGGAAAGACCAAAAAGCCUCUUAUCUAACCUGGCGUACCGGUACACCGGCCCACGUACCGGUACUAGAAGCCAACCCGAGAGCAGUCUGCGCACAGCCUGUGCAGUGUACCGGUACACCAUACUUGCUGUACUGGUACAGCAAGCAGAAAAACAGCUAUUUGCAGAUUUUUCUUGCUAAAUGCUGCUCUCGCGUCGCAAAGAGUCCGUUUUGCGUCUAUUUCGUGCCAAUGCGACUCAGACUUGUCCCGACACUCUCCAGAGCUGUCGACAAGCCUUCACUGCUGAACACCAGGGAUCUCACAGAAAAUUUAGCAUUUAAAAUUUAAAUUUAAUAUGUAAAAUUUUAUAAUUUGAAAAUUGAAAUUUCAAUAAUCUAAAUCUAAAUUUAAUAUUUUGAAAUUUAGAAUCUAAAAUUUUAAAAUUAAAAAUUUGAAAUUCGAAUCUUGAUAUUGAAAUUAGAAUUUUGCAAAUAUAAAUUUUAAAUUUUGAAAACUGAAUUUGAAUUUUGAAUUCAAACCAAUAAUCGAUUUUUAUAUUUCUAGAAGUUGGACCGGAUUGUUAUUUUACUCCAUUUUUGGUCGUAUAGUUUGACUAUUCUUUAGUUUUUAGGGUUUUUUUUUUGUUUUUAAACCCAAACAUUCCAUAAUAAAUUUUUUCUAUAGGAUAAAUUACGCUCUCUUAUUAUUUACUUGACACAUGGAAAAACAGUAAUAUAUGGCCAUUUUUUUAAUAAUAAAAUUAUAACGCUCCAAUAGUCCUAUAUCGGAUGGGAUACUGAUUUCGAUCAAUUUAUAUGAGACCUACACGCUAAUAAUAAUAACUGGGUUUACGCAUUUUGGGCCAGUUGUUUGGGCCCAAUGAGUAAUUAUUGCUAACGGGUCGGAUCGUUGCAUUUGGUAUCAGAGACAAAUACCAGCCGGAAGUGUGAGAGCUAUAAUGUCGCAAUAGUCCCACAUCGGAUGGGAUACUGAUUCUGAUCAGUUUAUAGCAGGUCGGAUCGUUUCAUAAUUAUUUGGUCACGAUCGGAGGAGGAUCGAAAACUAAGUAAAGCUCAAAUGAGCUAAUUUUGACUUAUUUUCAUCAAAUUUGAAAGUAAGUAGUGUUUAGGGACUUAGUUGCAAAAGGGUAAAAAGAGAAAGGAAUCUGAAGCCAACCUCUCUUGGGGAUAUUAUUAUAUGAAAAGAAUCAUUUCAUAAAAUAAUUUACUUUAAUUUAUUUUAAUUUAAGAAGAGAAUGAGUUUGGCACUGAGAAUAUAUAUCUUUUGAGCAUGAACACUAAUAAAAUUCUUUUUGAGAAAAGAUGUUAGCACUAAGAGUAGAAUCCAUUUGUAGGCUUUUUGGGCUCCAAUGGGAAAAGAAUUAUCUCAUGAGAUAAUUUAAUUUAAUUUAAUUUAAUUUAAUUUAAUUUAAUUGAAGAAGAGAUUGAAAUUAAUAGCACUAAGAUUAGAAUUGAUUCGUAGAUUUUUUUUUUUUUUUUCCUUAUGAAUAUCACAUACCAAGAAGAGUCGGUUAUAGGGUUAGGUCUGACCCUGUUGUCGUGUUCUCGGCGAAAUUGAUGAGUUUCUUGAGGUGACUACUGGCGUGCGAUCAAAAAAUUAGGAGACUAGGUAAGUUGUUUUCUUUUUCUUCUUCUUCUCAAUCCUCUCGUCCAAAUUUUAAAAUUAAAAAUUAUAAUAUAAGUUUAAAUUUUAUAAAUUUAAAUUUUAAAAUUUAAAUAAAAUUAAAAAUUAAAAAAAUUUAAAAUUUAAAAUUUAAUAAAAUAUUAAAAUUUAUAAUUUAUAAUUUAAAAUAAUAAUAAAUUAAAAUUUGAAUUUGGAUUUAGAAUUUGAAUCCAAUAAUGAAGUUUUUAGCUUUCCUGAGGUUGAAAUGAAUUGUUUUAUUUUUCUCUAUUUUUUUAGAGUAUAGUUUAACUAUACUAAAGUUCUUAGGCUAGUAAAGUAUUUUAUAUAAGGAAUAAUUUUUUCAAUAACUUUCUGAAAGACCGAAAUUUCAUAAAUAACCCUCUAAGCUAAAAAAUAUCAUUAAUAUCCCUCUUAAAAUAAAAAAUAUUCAUAGACAUCUUUUAGAUUAACUUUUCAUAAAAAAGUCAUCCAAUAUUUUGUAAAUAUCAAUUUUACCCCUAGCACGAAUUUAACCAUAAUAAUUUUAAUUUCAAAAAUCGAUAUUCGAUAUUCAAAAUUUAAAAUUUUAAAACUCAAUUUAAAAUUUAAAAUUUAAAAAUCUAAAUUUAAAAUUGAAGUUUUUAAAUUUAAAUUUUAAAUUUUAAAUUUAAAUUUAGAUUUUAAAAUUUUAAAAUUUUAAACCUAGGCUUAAAUUUUGAAAUUUAAAAUUUAAUACUUAGGUUAAAUUUUGAAAUUUAUAAUUUAAUUUUAAUUUUAAUUUUAAUUUUUUAAUUUAAAAAUUUAUGUUGAAAUUUAAAAUUUAAAAUUUUGAAAUUUAAAGUUUAAAAUUUGAGUUCAUCUUGCAGGUGAGGGAUCCCAAGAAUGGUAAAUUUUUUUUCCUUUGGUUGGAGUUAAUUGUUAUUGUACUUUAUUUUUUUUGCGUAGUAUAAUCAAACUAUACUCUGAAAAAUUGGUGCUCUUUUGUAUCUGCUAAAUGCUUCAUAAUAUAAUAUUUUUAAUGAAUAGUAUAAUUUUACUAUGCUAUGUUAUUAGAGGUAUCCAAAUGGCCUUAUACUUUUAUAGCGAAAAUGAAAUUUAUAUUCUGCCCCACUAUAAAUUAAACUAUAUCUCUAAUAACGUAGUAUAGUUAAAUUAUACUGUAACAAUAGAAAUAUUAUACUGUGAAGCAUUUGAUAGACAAAAGAGCACCAGUUUUUCAAAGUAUAGUUUAACUAACAAUGAAUUCCAACCAAAGAAAAAAAAAUUUUCACCAGGGAUACCUCACUCACUUGCAAGACGAACUCAAAUUUGCCUAAGUAUUAAAUUUAAAAUUUCAAAACUUAAAUCUAGAUUUUAAAUUUUAAAAAUCUAAAUUUCUGUGAUCCUAAUAGCACACAAAUCCUUCUAUUUUCAUUCAUAAUAAUAUGGUUAAACAACAGUCCGUAUUUAUCUACUUGACACAUGUACCUUUUAUGUAAUAUACAAACAUAAUAAAAUUAUUAUUAUUUGGGCCUGUUACGGAGGAGAGUUGUUUCCGAAACUGCCCGUAAAAGGUGCCGUAAAAAGAGAGCCCGUCAGGGGCAAUUGGGGAAAGGGAAUAAUAUCUCGUGAGAUAAUCAAAUUUAAUUUAAUUUAAUUUUAAUUUAAUUUAAAGAAGAAAUAUUAAAAUUAGCAGAAAAACGAGAAUGGAUUUGCAGAGUUGGUCCUUAUAAAUAAACCACGCUGACAAGGAUCGGUGGUGGUGGUGGUGGUGCUGGAUCCCGUCAUCUUCUCAUGACAAGCGUCGUCGAUCAAGCUGGGAACUUUCUCGGACUACUAAGUGGUCGGGAGAAAAGGUAAGGUGAGUUUUUAUUUUUUUAUUUAUUUAUUUUUAAUAUUUUUUGUUUAUUCUUCUUCAUUCUCUUCUCCAAAUUUAAAAUUUUCAAAAAUAAAAUCAUUUUUUUUUAAAAUUUAAAUUUAAAAUCUAAAUUUUAAUUUUAAAUUUUAAAUUUUAAAAUUUCAAAUAAAAAUUUUAGGAUUUGAAUCCAAUAAUAAAGCUUUCUAAAGAUAUAUAUCUAGAGGAUGGAGUGAAUUAUUGUUUUACUUUAUUUUUGGAGCUAUCUAUACAAUAAUAAUAUUUAUUAUUAAUUAUUAAUUAUUUAUUGGUCACGAUGGUGGGAUUGGAGCGAACUAAAUGUAUGAUGGAAAUAAUUAAGCCUGAGUUGGACUCUCAAAUGAAAACGAAGGAGAGAAAUCUGAAGAACUUUUUGGAGACUCAAUAGGAAAAGCAUUAUUUCAUGAAAAAUUUUAAUUCAAUUUAAUUUAAUUUAAGAAGAGAUUGAGAUCAGCACUAAAAUUACAAUUGAUUUGUAUGCUUUUUGGGAUCCAAUAGGACAAGAAUUAUUUCAUAAAAUAAUUUAUUUUAAUUUAAGAAGAGACUGAGUUUAGCACUAAGAUUCUUUUUUUUUUUUCCGUUUCCUGAGAGAACCCUAAGAUUUUCUUCUUUUUUAUUUUAAUAAAAGAGAUUUGCACUAAGAUUAGAAUUGAUUAGUAGGCUUUUUGGGGAUCCUAUAGAAAAGGGUUAUCUCAUGAGAUAAUCUAAUUUAGUUUAAUUUAAGAAGAGAUUUAAAUCAGCACCAAGAUUGAAAUUGAUUUGUACAUUUGGUUCCAAUAAAUAUCCCACAUAGAAAAGGUAAGUUAUGUGGUUGGGUCCAGCUAUCUUGUCUGUGUCCUAUCUAAAGUUGGCAACUAUCAAUAUGGAAUCGAAAGAUUAGGAGAGAAGGUACAAGUUUCGCAUUGAACAUUGGUGGUUAGACUCCCCGUCGUUUGCAUCCACAGUCUAACCUCUUUCAUACCGUACCACCGUCGUACUUCCUCCGAUGCAAUCAUCAAGGUAGUGGAUUGUGAAUCCACCACACGCGGAUGCAAUCAUCUAGGUGAUUUUCUUUCUUUUCAUCUUCUUCUUUCUUCUCUGUCCUUUCUUCUUUUUUUUCUGUUUUUUUUUUAAGUCUUCUUGUCUAGUGCCGCGCGCUGCACCUGCAACUAGGUGCACAAACCGCGGUGGUCAUGUACAUGGUCGAUCAUGUAUAGGGUUUAGAGCUUCAAUAUUUUUUUUAAUGAUUGAUGGGAGAAAGAAGAUGAGUGUUUGGAGCAGACUCGGUUUCAUAACUUAUUUAAACUUGGUUGAGAGGAGAUUGCAUUAAGUUCAUAAAUGCUUCGGCCCGCUCAACUGUAUUUUACUUAUUAGCGUUAAAUGGAUCUCAGUAUUAAAUGGGCCCUUAUUCCUUAUCCAAAACUUCUGCGUAUGACUUUGGGCACUUUGGGCUUGGCUAAAUUAGUGAAGCCAAACUUGAAUAGAAAAAGCUUUGGGCCUUGGUUGUAAUUUGAGCAUGAACCAUUGAGCUGGCUUUCUGUUGGAACUUAGUUUUGAGGUAGUUCAAUGACAUGGUGGGUGGAUGUAGCUUGCUAGAAACUAGAUUUUUAUUUCAGAAUGGUUUAGAGAUCGAAUCUUAAUAUAGCUGUAACUUUUGAAAAAUUCUAUCGGUACACCCUAUACGGGAUGAUAAUCAUCUUAGUCCAUAACCUAGGAUGAACAUAUACCUAGUUUUUGAAUGUACAAAUAGUACUGCUCGCUAUUUUUUCGUUAUUCUGAGAAUAGCGGUAAUCUAAGUGUCUCUUGAUUCAUUUUGCAAGUUUAAAUCAGAUGUAAACUCCAUUGGCCUAAAGUCUACUCCGAUUGAGUGCAGAAUUUUGAUAACUAAUUUAAUUAAAAAUUAAACAGAAAUUAAUUAUAAAUUUUUAGAAGAUCAAGAGAACUUUAUACAUAAGCCAUAAGGAAACUUCUAGAUGCAUUAAAAAUAAGCAAACUAGUUAUUUGUAUGCAAUGAAAUGAUUGUUUGUUAGUUGAUUUUUUUUUUUUAUUUUGCACGUGGUAUUUCCAUGGACGUUGGAAUCUGACAAGUGGAUGAUAGAGUCUGAUACGGGGCGUUGAAGUUUUAUUGUAGUGGCUUAGGAGCCAAGUAUUUAGUUACGUUGGAGUUGAGUAUUUGUUUCGGUUGGAUCCAAAUAAAUUUGCCGAUAAAUAGUUAGAUGAUAUCUAUAACAUUUUGAAAAACACCCAACUCUUAUUUAUCUGUUGAGUCCAACUACUAUACUCUUAUAAGUAUAGGUCUUUUGUAUUCAUAAGUUUUCGGCUUUUAGAUCUGCCCUUUUAAUUAUUUUCAUCCGUUAGAUCAUACUAUUCAACCAACCAUCCACUAAAUCCUAAAGAACCACUAUCAUCCUAACCAGAAACUAUUAUUAUCGUAACCGCACAUCCUUUUAUUCAAUGGUCGAAAAUUUAUGAGUACAAAAGGCUCUAUACUCAUAAGAGUAUAGUAGCCUUAGCCUUAUCUAUUUGUUUAUUCUUUUGAGUGCUUAGUUCUUCAAUGAUGCGGCCUGUUAUUAUCUUUUGAGUCCUGACGAUUUGAACUGGGGCAUGACAAAGGCUUAAAAUUAGUAUUUGUCUUGGGUGUGGGAGAUAUCUAUAUUUCAAUUGGCCUGUUAUUUUAUUUUGGGCUUGAACAAUUAGGUCAGGGGCAUGACAAGGCUCUCAUCUCAAAGCAUCAUUUGCAAAAGUGGGAUUAUGAAAAUUUCAAUUCAAUUUAUUUAACACAAAAUUUAAAACUUAAAAUCAAGAAUUUGGAAAGCAAAUGCAAAUUUUGAAUCUCAUUUUACUUUUUAAAUUUAAAUUUUAAAAUCAAAUUGAGAUUUGAAUUCUCAUUUGAAAUUUGAAAUUCAAAUUCAAUUGAAUUCAACUAAAAUUUUCAAAUUUUUAAAUGAAAAUUUAGGUCUAAACUCAACUUUGGAAUUCAAAAUGAUUUUGAAUUCAAUUGACAUUCUGAAUUCAAAUUCAAACAAACUCAAAAUUUAAUUUUAAAUUUUAAAUUUUAAAUUUCAAUAUCAAAUUUCAAUUCAAAUGCUGCUAUAGACCUCUUGAGAUGGGAGACCCUGCCAUGUACCAAGCAGAUUGGUUAGUCUCAAAUGAAAUAGUUUCAAAUUGAAUCUCAUACGAUUUCUAUUUGGGUUCGACGCCCCACUAAGUUUAAUUAGACCAACAACAUUAUCAAUAUAUAUAUAUAUAUAUAUACAUAGUGUACUUAUACGUACGGUAGCGGGUAUAGUAUUAGUAGUACGGUAUAUAUAUAUAUAUAUAUAUUAGUAUAGAUAUAUAUAGAUAGAGAGAGAUGAGAGAGAGAGAGAGAGGGAGAGAGUUGAGCUAGAAUACUAUCGGUAGUAAACGAGCCGUUUUACUACCAAUUUGGUUUCGAUGAUAGAGCUUCCAAAUUGACGAUCGGGCUCCGUUUAAAUAUGAUCUAAACACAUUUAAACUACCAGAAAUCAAUUUCACGCACUUUCGAUAUUGUUCUUUUAUCCAUCAAGUGAACAGAAAAAUGAAUGGCUUGAAAAUGAAUACUCUAAAAAAUGAUGAUAGGAGUUUUGUAAUACAAGAUCAAGAGUUAUAGAUCUUGUUUUAAAUAGUUUAAAGAAUUUUCUAAAACAAAAAUUUCAAUUGAUAUUGGAUAUCUUUACGCUGUUAAACGAGAAAACGCCUCUUAUCGACUAUUUAAAAUUACAAAUUUUGAAAACUUUGAUCUUAGGCAAUGAUGUUGAAAAGAUUGAAUUUGAUUUCUAAACACUUCAAGUGGUAUAGAUCAUAUUCAACGGAGCCGAUCGUCAUAUUUGGAAGUUCUAUCAUCGAAAACAAAUCGGUAGUAAAACGGCUCGUUUACUACCGAUAGUAUUCUAGCUCAAUCUUUUUUUAUAUUUUAUAUAUAUAUAUUAUAUAUAUAUAAUAUAUAUAUAAUAUAGUUAUAUAUAUAGAGUGAGGCUACUAUGCUAUCGUGAAGCAGCACGGAUGUCUUCCGUGCUUUCCAGCUCGUUUUCGAUGUUGCGACUUCGAAUUGUUGAUCGGCUCCGUUAAACUUUGAUCUAGAGUAUUUGACAGUACCUAGAAAAUAAAUUUAUGAUUUUACGAUAUCAUUUGCCUAGUGAACGAAGGGGCUCAAAAUCAACGGCUGAAAAUAAAAAUCUUACAAAUGUAAUAAUAUGACAUUAAAAUUUUAAAUCAAAUAUAUUGAUCUUAUUUUAUAUAGUAUAAAGAAUUUUCUAUCAAAAUUCACGUGAUUUGGAUAUUUCUACACCGGUUAAACUGCAAACGGCUCACUACGGCCAUUGAAAUUUGUUGAUUUUGAGCCUAUUCGAUCACUAGGCAAAUUAUAUCGAAAAAUAAUAAAAUUUAUUUUCUAGGUACUCCAAAUACUCUAGAUCAAGUUUAACGGAGCCGAUCGACGAUUCGAAAGUCGCAACAUCGAGAACGAGCUGGAGAGCACGGAAGCUCCGUGCUUGCCAUAGGCAUAGUAGCCUCACUGUAUAGUAUCAUAGUAUAUAAGUAUAUAUAUAUAUAUAUAUAUAUAUAAACAUAAUUUUACUAUAAUAAUACUAAACAAAAAUAAUGGUGCUUAAUUUGUAGAAAUAUUAAUUAAAUAUAAAAAUUAAAUAAACAAAAUAAUUUUAAAUUCAAUAAUGAAAUAAACAAAAUAAUUUAAAAGUCAAUAUGAAAAUUUCAAAACUACUUCUUUCUUAAAUGUUUGAAAACUAAAAUUUAAAAUUUUCCUGAAUAAGAGAGAAAAUAAGUGUUGAGUUUAUUACAGGUAAGAAAGAAAAAUGCAAAGGAUGAUUUAAUUUUUUCUAAUUUAUUAAGUUAUAGAAUUUGUUAAAAUUAACGGGUAAAUUAGUUAUUAGUAAGGAAUUAACCUAGUUUUAUUUUGUAUAAAGUAAUUUAAACUAUUGAGUUUGAUAGAAUUAUUAGUAAAGUUUGACAAAAUUUCUAAUUUAUUUGCUAAAGUUACUCAAUUCCAAAUUUUCAAAAUUUGAGGCGUCUCAAAUAAAAAAAUAUAGCUUCGGGAGCUACAUUGCAGUGGCCAUACAUUUUUACCAAAGAAAUAUAAGAUUGAUUCUUCUUCUUUCUAUAUAUAGCUGCUUCAGAUUUAAACACAAGAUCUCUCUCAUAUUUGUGUGCACCAAAUUGCCCUUUUACCUCACUAUUUUUUAAUUUACAUUUUACUCUUUUUUUCGCCUUUUUAAUGGCUUUGGAUUGAAACUUUAAAUUUUUCUCUUUUUUUUUUUUUUGGGUUCUUCCUAGGAACAUAAAAUUUUAGCCAUAAAAGAGAGAAGAUUAUUGUUGUCACCGGCCAUAUCCCCUUAUUAUUAUUCUAAGAUUUCAUAGUGUAAUCAAUCUAUGCUUUUGACUGUGGCUCUUUGUCAUCAUUUUACAUUUUGUUUCUUACAAAGAUGAAUUCUUGUUUAUCUUAGUUUAAUGAAUGAAAUCUUUAUAUCUCAAGAUAAAUAAAUCAAUUAAAAUGUUUGAUUUUAUAGCAAAUUUAAGUUGCACUCAUUCUUUUUGGUCUUGUGAGUCACUAUUUGAUUGUAAUCAUAAGAUCAUCCUCUUUUACAAUUUUUGCAUUAUUUGGAUUAUUUAGUUAACAAAUCCAUCUGACCAGUCUCAAAUUUUCCAUUUUUUUCCCUACUUUUGCAGAUUAUGGAUCCACAUCAUACUAUAGAGGGUGUUGAUGAUCUUUCUUGCUUGAAAUCUCUUAGUAUCUCUUUGCAGUUCGAUUCACUGACUAUGAGGGAUUACGCCAGGAGCUUAUCAAUGGAAGGAAGAGCUCAAAACACUGGAGAUAAUACAGCAGUACGAGAAAAUUCACUAAUUAGAACAAACAACUCAAACUCUAGUUCUCUGAGGAAGGAUUCAAUAAGUUUUCCUCGUGAUACGGGCGAUCGAUUACUGAAUUUAAUUAGUCUUUCGCAUGAGAUAGCAGAUGAGAUACUUGGCAAUGUUGAUAGCUCGAUUGUAGCUCGAGUAGGAGAUAGCGGGGAUCGAUUGGUGGUGAAAGAUGAUGAGGUUGAGGACAAUGGAAGCCCAAAUUUCAUUGUGGGUGGUGAGAAUAAAAGUUUUGAAAUGGGAGUUGGACCGGUUACUGAUGAUUCUUUGGUUCUAAAUCAUGUGGCAAAGUCUAAUGAUAUGAAUUAUGCAUCGCCCAUCUCGCCAUUGACGGUGGAGAUUGUUUCCUCCCUCCCAAAUGGUUCCACUUUAGCAUCAGUAGACAAGAAUCAAGCAGUUCUUAUCAAAACAUCGUCGAUUAAGGUACGUGUCAUGAGUUAUUCCUUUCUACGACCAAAAGUCUAAUGUGAUUAUGUGAAGGGUUUGGUAAGGCCAUGUAAAUCUUUGUAGUUAUUUGAGGAAGCAGUUGCAGCUUCUUAUAACAGCAAAAGCAGCUUCGAAGUGGAGUUGUUUCUUUAGGCACAAAAUUUCAUGUCAUCGUUUUGAUGUAGCAAAAGUUUUCAAAUUUUUUUAUUUGUCAAAUACUUGGCUUCUACUUCUGUAAGGAAGCUACUUGAAAACUUUGGCUAAGAACACACAAAGAGUAGUAUUAUUUCAAAGUCUACUUAUAUUUUUGCAGUCAAAUAACAUCAUGUCCUUAUAUAUAAUACUAAUACUUAAUAUUUGUGGGUGACUAUGUUGCUCAUAUAUGUAGCUUAGUUAAAAUUAAAACUGCUUUCAAAUAAUGAGACAGUUUAUUAAGUUGUUAUUAUAAUGUUUAAUGUAUUUAUUUUACAGGGUAAGCAAUACAGGAUUUUCCAAAGAUUGGAUUGUUGCAAUUACAUGAUUCACUUAGCUCUAUUUGGAUUUUUUGGGGUAUAGUUCAUAACUUCUCCAUAAUAGUUAUUAUGUGGUAUUAGUUGCUGAGUUGACUAUGUGGUUUUUCAAAAAAAAAUCUUAGUUUCUUAAAUUGGCAUAGUGUGUUUGAGCCAAAUUUAUUGGAUGAAUCAUCUUUCUUAUCAUGGUGCUUGCAUUGUGUGUUGAUAAUACUAAAGCUAAUAUAUCAUAUGUUUAUUAAUUUCAUUAAAUUUUACUAGCUCUUUGUGCAUUUCUGUUUAAGCGAUUCUCAAUUUUAAUGACUAAUGCAUUAACAUUUAUAUAAAACAAUCUAUGCCUAUUAGUUGUUUCACCUAGUUUGCAACGGAAACAUCAAAUGAUGAUGUUACUGUAGCUUUUAUUUUAUAUUUUAUUAGGACUCAUUUGAUAUGUUUCGUAGUUAAGAAUAUCUUUAAAAAAUUCCUAAAGAUUACCUAUAUACAUUUAGUAUCUAUAAACUUUCAAACAUAAUCUUAUAUUUCUAGUCACUCUUUAAGAUAUCAUCAUGAUUUUUACCACAAAAAUAAAGGGAAAAAAUGAAUACUAAUUCAGCUUAAGAAAUCAUUGAAUAUUCAAUCAUCAUCUUAACUCUCCUUUGGUGAUAUCUCACAUAUUCAAGUGAACUUCUACAAAUAUGUGCACACUCUAGAUCAAAUUGUAGUGAGAAAAUUGAAAGAUUUAGAAAUCGUAUUUAUAUAUUCCUUCAUGAACCAAGAGGGAUUGAUUCUACUUUGUUGUUUCAAAUUCAUAUUCUAAUUAAUGCAGUCAUUUCGCAAUAGAUAUUAGAGAGAACGAAGUAUGAAGUCUUUUUGUUUCUUUUACUCAAACUUUUAGUGAAAAUAAAUUAUACAAUUAUUCAAGGAAAUCUAAGUGUUUUUUUUACUUUAUAUUUUCGAUAGUCAUACAUGGGACUUGCCUUUUGAUUCUCACUCAUUUCUAAGAUCUAUUUAGUAGCCAAAUUUUCAAUCGUUCAUACAUGUUUGUUAUAUCUGCAAUAUCCAACAUAAGAAAAAAAAUAAUAUAAAAAAUCUCCCUGAAUUUAUUAGUUAAUAUGGUCAAUCAAACACAAAUUGAAAAAUGCAAAAGCCCUAACACCUGAACGGAAUAUACAUACUAACAUUCUAAAGUAGAUCUCGUAUUUUAGCAAACUUAUUUUCUUGUCUUUUUUUGGAUGAGAAUAAGGAUUAGAAAUGACACUAAAAAGUGCUUUUGUACUAAUUGUUUUUCCUACUAUCUAGCAUUAAUUUGAAGUUAUUUUCUUUCUCAUGAAGUUUGUACACAGGAUAGACAUAAUCUUGAUAUGUACAUCAUAUAUAGAAAGAUUCAAGCAUGGAUAUAAUUUUCAUUAUAUGUUAUGCCUAUAUGCACAUGCAUGCAACAAAUUCAUAAUUGUAAGCUUAUUACCAGGUACUUACACGGUACUCACUAGGAAAGCUCUUUGGGCCAAGUGAUCUCGCACUAACCUCCGAUGAUUCCCUACUAUACCUUGAUCUACCAGCAAAUAUAGUAUGUCUUUACCCAUAUCACCUAAUAUAAAAUAUACACAUUUAUUUUUCACUAUAUAGUUAUAAAAAAUUAUUUGUUUGCUUUGUACCAGCUAGGUUGCUUCCUUAUCGGCUGGUUUGGGAUUGUUUUCAAGACUGAUAUACGCCAAAUAUCUGAUCAUUUAGUAGUUGGCUUGACUACUGGAUACUUGGGAAGUCUAACUACCUUUAGUGGGUGGAAUCAGAAAAUGCUUGAUUUGUCUGCCAAUGGCCAUUGGUUAUUUGCUUUUGCUGGCGUCAUACUAGGUAAGUUGUCACUAUUUUUUAGAGUAAUUUAUUUUGAUAAAUUGCAUCAUUCUGUGAAAUUGAGUUCUUGACCUUCGUAUUUGGUGGCAGAUAAAAGUAUUAGAUACAAGGGACAAUUUCACUGAUGCCCUCCUAAAGUUCUGAAUUUUCAUAUAUGCUCUUUCAAUUUUUGAAAUUUCAUCAAUAACUCUUCAAAUGUUAAAUAUAUUUCAUGAAUGCCCCUUCUCAUUAACAUCUAUGAACAUCCGUCAAUUUAAAAUAGAAUGUUACUAUUUUACCCCUACUUUUGAGUAUUUUUUGUUAGAAUUAAUUAGUUAAAGAUAGAAGAAUUACUUUCACUUAUAACCUUCUAAAAUUAAAAAAAUGCUAUAAAUAUCUUUAUAAAUAUGGUAUCUCAAUGUUAGUCCUUGAAAUAUAUAAUUUCUUACAAACAUAUUGCCACUAAAAAUAUAUGAAGACCCCUCAGUUAUGAAUUCUUGUAAUUUAAUCCCCAUAAUUUUAAAUUUUACUUAUUAAAUUAUAUAAAGAUAUUAACAAUUACUUAUAUAUUAUAUGAAUAUUUUAUCUUAAAUUUUUUAAUUAAUAAGUUUUUUUGUAAAAUGUGUUAAAUGAGUUAGUUCAAACAUUAUUUUAGUUUAGAUAGCUCAGUUUAUAACAUAAAAUUUUAUUUGGAUUAGUUUCAAGUUAUAAGUUGCUUAACCAUUAUGUUUGACUUCUUCAUAUUUUAUAAAUUUUUUAGUUUGAUUUUUUUUUAUAUUAAUUUAGAUUUGGAAGUUUGUUUGAGCUCAAUUUAUAAAAAAAAAUUUUUAAUUCGCAAAGCAUUCUUGAAUUUCAAUGGGCAUUUAUGAAACUAUUUUUGAUAUGUGAUUAUUGGAUUGUUUUUAAAAAGCAAUGCUGACAAUGGCGAAAUAGGAAUUUCAUUAUAACUUUUGAUAGAAAAUAGCAAGUAGUGCUAUUUUUGAAGGUUUCUAACAAAUUGAAGGUCAUUUAUAAUAUUUCAAUUUUUUAAGGGGCAUUUAUGUAAUUAUAUGCUUUUGGAAGAGCAUAUAAUGAAUUUUUUCUAGAUACAACAAGAUACAUGCAAAUAUUGAAUGAACUUGGUCCAUCAUUUGAAUUUGGUUGUUAAAUUGAAUGACUGCAAAUCUACGUUACAGUCACGUAAAACGUUGUUAAUGCCCUCGGCAUUUAACUACAAAUGCAUUUUUUGUUCAUUCAAAUUCAACACAAAAGUGAAUAGCAGCCCCUUUACAAGUUGGGGACUCAACCUUGUAAAUCGAAAGGCUAAGCACCAAAGUGAAAACUUCACUAAAAGAUUGAGAAGUACAUGUGUAGUACAUCAUUCAUUAGUAAGUACAGUUUGUUGUUGUUCACAGCUUUGUUGAGAAGUUUGUCUUUUUUUUUACUAUCUCUUAAUUUUCAACAUUCAGGGAUGUUUAUUGUCAAUGAAUCUAUCACAAUCGGGGUUGAGUCAGCUGAAGCUCUUCGAAAGUGGCUUCUACAACAAUUCAACAAGAGUUUAACAAAUUUCAAAUCCAAACUAGAACAAUGGAGAGUGGAAAUGCGCAUUCAGAAUAUAGCAGUGAUAAUACUUCUAUUCUUGGCAAUGCUUGCAAUAUGGUUUCUAUUCGGAGCAUUAGCUAUACUUAAGCUGCAUAGCCUUGCUGAUGAAACAGUUCUUUGGUGGGGUUGCACAGUGGGACCCCCCGGCGUUUGGGUUCGGUGGUAUCUAGCACGACUUAAUGGACAAGGGCUUGGGGAAAAGAGAUAUUUCAAAUGGCUCCCUAUUGGGACACUUUGUGCCAAUGUUCUUGCUGCGUCCCUCAUGGCAGUAUUAGCAAUACUAAACAAACUGGUAUGAAAAAAAAUUUCUUUGACACUUAGAUAGCUAUCAAUUUUACUUAAUUUUCUAAUAUUUUGGUAAGAUUGAUAUUCAUGAAAAUAAUUUUGUUUCUAUUUUUUAUCACUAUGUUGUCAGUUGGCAUUCUACCAAAUGAGCUUGUAUAGUAGUUAUAAAGUUCCUUUUUGUUGUUCUAAAAAAUGGAUCGUCCUUAAUAUUCAUACUUAUUUCAAUCAGGUCACUUUGCGCCAUUCAAAUCUAUUUUGUACUCACCAAUCAAUAUCAAUAAUCGUAAAAAGUUAGUUGUGAUACUUAUUCAUACUGAUUGUCCUAACAUUUACUACAACAUUUAAGUCAACUCCUUCUUGUUGUAAAAUUCAUAAAUCUUUUUGAAUGUUCCACUAAGACUUUGAGGUUGUUUGGCCCUGCUAGAGCUUGUAAAAAGUGCUAUUCAAGUAGAUAUUUUCAAAAGAGCAAUAGUAGUCUUUUACUAAAAUCUCAUCUAUCACUUCUCACUAUAGCAGAAGUAGAAGAUUCAAGUUAAAACUUCUACUUGUUAGGCCCAAAAGCUCAUUUGGCUUCCUGAUACUCUAGAUUGUGUUGGCCAAUAACUUGAUUUUUGAGACUUCUACCUUUUCAAGUAGAGAAGCUUGAACACUUAUAAAUCUUGCUUUCAUGACAUGACUUGUUUGAAAAUUUUGUUUGAAAUUCAGGUAAACAAAAGAAGAUAUUCGAUCCUCAUAAGUGGAGUUCAGCUCGGCUUCCUCGGUUGCCUGAGUACAGUUUCCACUUUUGUAGCCGAAGUUUAUACCAUGAGACAAAGUGGCAACAAAGCACGAGCCUUCUUCUACACCGCUCUCACCUUUCUACUCUCCUUUGCUUUAGGGACUUUGAUCUACUCGGUACCUGUUUGGGCUAAACACUACAAUUAGUUUAUGGUCUUUUCAUGUAAAUUUUCGUAAGAUAACAAAAUAAUGUUAUUGUACAAAUUGUUGGAUUUUGUUUGGGAGUUCUAAGUGUAGAUUGAGCAAUAAAAAAAAAUAAUGUUAUUGUAUAAAUUGUUGGAUUUUGUUUUGGAGUUCCAAUUGUAGAUUGAGCACACUCUAGGACUUUAAAAAGUUGUAGUGGUAACUGUGAUCUCUUCUUUUGAUGUAUUCUUUUGAAGGAUGUAGAGAUGCGUUUGAUAAAGCUGGGAAUAAAAAUAAUAUGUAGAUUUUUUUCUAUUUGGUUUUCUACUUAAGUACUCUAAUAUGAGCUACUAAUAAUACAGAGUUUAGACAAUGCAAUCUAUACUAAUUGAAUUCCUAGUAUUUGAGUUGUGUGAUUUCAGUUUGAAAGUAUAAUUAUCACUUCUAUAUAAUAGGAAUCUACUGGAUGUCUUUAAACUGAUUCUUUAGUUUCAUAUUUGAAUAUUUAAGAAAGCUUUGAGUUGUGACAACCAUAAUAUCCUUCAUGUCUAAGAGGUGCCUCUAGGUGUGAAAAAUGGAGGUUCAAAUUUUGGAAAUAUUAUUUUUAACAACUCUGAACAGCUAUUUGAUAGAUUUUAUAUGAAAAUAUGGUUAAAAUUUUGGAAAAUUGUAUUGCACAAAUAGCAAUUCUAUGGAGGCUCUAUCUGAGUGAGAUGGUGCUUCUUGUUAAGAAUGUUGAUAUCAAUAGAAUAGGAUUUUGACUAAAUGUUACUUGAAAGGAAACUAUCUCAUAAUUCAUAUUACCAAGUUAUAUACAGCACAAAGUCUUCCUAUUUUCUAAAGCAUGAUUGUUUAGUGUAGUUUGUUUGUUUUUCUAUAUUUGACUCAAUACAGUAGUAAAUAACUUAGAUAACAAAACAACAAGAAAAUUUUUGUUCUUUACAAAUCUUUUGUGAAUUAUCCUUUUCUAAUUGAAGUUAACUUUGAUGUAUUUCUUUUAUAUGAAAUCAGUUAUUUUAGUGUUUUGUCCGGACUACAGCAUUUUCUGCCUGUGAGUGCCAUUAGGCCAAGCCCGGCCCCUAAGGGGCAGACUACAUGCCCUCCAUUCUGGCUUCUAGCCACUUCACUAUAGUAAAAUAUUACGUUGAUAUUUCAAAAUCAAGAGAGAAUCUACUUUAGUCACUGAGUUUAGCAUUAAGUCAACAAAACAAUCUUUUUAAUCAUUGAAAAUUGUAAUUCAUAAUUUGAAAUUUAGGACACCAACUUAGUCCGGAAUAUGAUGUUUUUAGGUAGAUUUACUGUUGAAUAGAACCCUACAUGCUAAUCCCUUGCACUUUCAUUAAUCCUUCAAUAUGAACAUUGUCGUCUAAUCCUAGCAAUUCAUGAUCGAUCAAUCUCUCUAUUAAUUCCUUAUCUUCUUAUUUCUUGCAUCAUCCUCUUUUUGAAUUUCACAUAGUUUGCAGCUCUUCUAAGAUUUUGGUUUUGCUGAUUUGGUUUAAUUUUUUUGUAUUCCUGGCAAAUAUUUUCAAACAUUUCUGUUGACUAUUGAAAAAUUACCAUUUGAACUCCGACCUAAAGACAAAUAGAUCAAUAGCAACAAGGCUAAAAAGAUCACCAUUGAAAAGUCAAAAGAGUCCUUUCUCAAAGUAAAAAUGUAUGGGUAAUCCCUCUAAUAUCCCAAUGUUUCGACUUGGUCCCUAUACUUUUGACUUAGUCCCUGACGCUUUCACUUAUGUUACACUUGAGCUCCUACGUGUUAAAAACAAUUUAUGGUUUGAAGUAGACUAAAAAAAGUGAGAUAUUUUAAAGGUGGAAUUAAAUGAUUAUUUUAUGCGAAAAAGUUAUUUCUUUAUAUUUAUGGAAUAAAAUACAAUUUUGGUGAGAUGCCAGGAGAAAAAAAGUAAUUAAGUUAAAACUAUAGGAAACAAAUCACAAAAUUAAGAUGGUACGUGAACUAUCCACAUACUUGACCAUCACUUGAGCCUCGUCAUACGUAGAAUUUCAAAAGCAGUUGGUAGUAUAUUCUAAACAAAAGAAAGAAAAAAAAAAUUGGUAGUCUCAAAAAAUUAAAAAGUAAUGUUUAAAAUCACCCAAAACUUCAUGUACCAACACAUAACAAGAAUUAGGAAAACUUCACAUACUGGUUACAACAAGAAUUAGGGUUAAGGAAUGCUUGGGAAGAAAGGGUUGGAAAUGAAACAUUAUUACCCGAGUAUUUGGAGUUACUUCUUCAGUAGCUAGGAACAUAUUUGAGUUACUUCUUCAGUAGAUAGGAACAUAAUCCAACUAAUAAAGGACUUGUUGUUGAAUGUAUGAGGGGCGAAUAGGUCAGACUUGGUCAGACGAAGAUGGACAGCUAACCAAAGCUUCAUAGUUAAAUCACUAUAUAACAUCUGUUGGAUCGUUGGCGCUAACCGUUAAUCCCAAAAGCUCGAGCUAUUAGAAAUACGCAACCAAUUCACUUAAAGCAUAUAGAUACAGCACCCACGGGUCUCAAUUGUGACUCGGCCCAACUAGUCUCACGCCACUUCGAACAUGACUCGGCCCACCCAGCCUCACGUCACCACAAGGCAGGAUGCUGACCCAUUUAAGCCAACAAUCCCCCCUCCAACACUUGGACAUAUUUGCAGCAUACGGGAAUCGAACCCGUGGCCUCUGUCUCUGAUACCACUUGUUGGAUCGUUGGCACUAACCAUUAAUCCCAAAAGCUCCAGCUAUUAGAAAUACGCAACCAAUUCACUUAAAACGUAUAGAUACAGUGUCCAUGGGUCUCGAUUGUGACUUGGCCCAACCAACCUCAUGCCACUUCGUACAUGACUCGGCCCACCCAGUUUCGAACAUGACUCAGCACAACAUAGCCUCCAGCCACAGGGUAGGAUGCUGGUCCAUUUAAGCCAACAACAUCCUCGUGGAGAGGGGACUAAGAGACAUCAAAAGCCCACAUAGUUGGAGAAUGAAAAUGCCCGAGAAGAUUAAAAUCUUUAUAUGGAUGAUGCUAAGAAAAAUGAUCCUAACUAUUGACAAUUUACUAAAAUGGGGAUGGUCAAAAAAAACUUUACGUUCUCCAUGCAAGCAACCUCGAAAUUUGUGAUCAUCUAUUCUCAAGAUGUUUGUUCUUUCGAGAUCUGCAUAUUAUUCAAAUGAUGAAUCAUUCAUAGCAUAAACCAUAGAAGAGCAAAAAAUGUACAAAAGCUAUCGAAGAAAUUGAUUAGGCAAAAAGAUGACUGUUGGAGGAAAAUAGGUCUUACAUUACUUUUGACCACAUGGUAGCACUAUGUUUAAAAAUAAGUAUGUAUAAUGAAACAAAAAUAAAAAGACUUAAAUGACAAAAUAAGCACCCCACACUUUACAUUGCGUUUCAAAUAUAACCUUGCAUAAAAAAUUUAAACAAUAUCAAUCAUGCUUUAAUCUUGUGUCAAAUAGUUCUAAUAAUUUGGAGAUUCUGUUAAGUUUUGACGGAAGUAUUAAUGAUAAUGAAGUGACAAGGUCAUUUAACAUUUUAUAUGCUUAAAUUCUCCACAAAAUGCUUUUUUAUUGUUUCUUUUGGGUUUUAAUACUUGAAGGUGUGCUUGAAAGAGCUUAAAUGGGUUUCACAGCGUCCUAAAUCAACAUACCAUCAUUAAACUUAACGAAAAAUUCUAACAGAAUAGCAUGUUUGAGACAGAACUAAUGUGCAUGAUUGACAUUGUUUUCUUUUUUUUAUGUAAGGGUAGACACCGGAUAAAGUGCAAGGUGGGUUUUUAUAAUUAAGCCAAAAUAAAACCACAUAAUAGUUAAGUGCAAUUUUUUAAACCAUAAGAUGAUAAAAUAAAAAUACGCUACAUCACACGAUACUUAAUGAUCCCGAUCUAUAUAGUGAAUAGUUCCAUAAAAAAUUCAACCAAUUUCAAUUCUCUACGGCGUUAACUACGAAACGUCUCAUACUAGCUGAUAAAAAUGACAAUUUUGAGGCCCUUGUAUAUGAUGUUUAAAAAUUAUAAAAUUUAAUUUAUAAAAUAUUUAAAUAUUUUAAAUUAUGUUUGACGGUAUGAAUUGUCGUUAGAACUAUCUAUUUUUAAAAAAACAUAUGGUGGCGCUAUGUUUACAGAACCACAUGGUGGCACUCUGAAUUGUCCAUAGAACUAUUUAAAAAAAAAAAAUCACAUGGUGGCACUAUGUUUAAAAAUAAGUCUGUGUAGUGAAACAAAAGGUAAAAAAGCUUAAAUUAUAAAAUAAACUACAUUUAGAGAACCACAUGGUCGCACUCUGAAUUAUCCAUGGAACUAUUUUUUUAAAAAAUCAUAUGGUGGCACUGUGUUUAAAAAUAAGUCUGUGUAGUGAAACAAAAAGUAAAAAAGCUUUAUUUUUAACACACACACACCCCCCACACCCCUCGCCCCUCCCCUCCCCAUUGUGUUUAAAAAUAAGUCUGUUUAGUGAAACAAAAAGUAAAAAAACUUUAUUUUUAACUUAACGGUGUUUGAAAUUCUAUUAUUGAGAACGACUUAUGAGUACAAAAAUAACUGCACUAAUAAUUAGCGCAAUAGCUGGACUCUCUCUCUCUCUNCUCUAACCUUGCAUAAAAAAAUUUAAUAAUUUGGAAUUAUUAGAGAUUCUGUUAACUAUGAAAUGUAUCAGCCGGUUAAAAUGACAAUUUUGAGGCCCUUGUAUAUAAUAUUUAAAAAUUAUAAAAUUUGAUUCCUAAAAUGUUUAAAUAUUCUAAAUUAUGCUUAACGGUGUUUGAAAUUCUAUUAUUGAGAACGACUUAUGAGUACAAAAAUAACUGCACUAAUAAUUAGCGCAAUAGCUGGACUCUCUCUCUCUCUAUAUAUAUAUAGACAUAUAAUAUUGAAAGGGAGUGGGUAUUAAGAGAGAUGAAGUACUUGAAAUAUAUUCCAAGGUGAAAAAAUUCACAAUUUUAGUUUCCAAGCAAAUUCAGUUAGUCUCUCAUGUUCAGCAUGACAGUGCUGUAUAAACUUUUACACUUCUGAAGCAAUUCUUGAACUUCAUAAAAAAAAGAUAGAUAUUACAGCUUCGAAACAAGACAUAUAUAUACGCUCAAAUCUACUCGAGAAAAAUCGGUUGCUACGUAGGAUUUCCGGCCAGCUUCAUUAUCACGAACCUCCUCUUCAAAAUGGAAUCUGCACUCUCACUCAACUUAGCAAGUUGAAUCAUUCUCCUCGUCGACGAUUUCGCAACAACGGCUUCGUCGCUUGGCCUCUCGAUAUCACUGCAAGGGGGUGCAUCCUCUUCAGCUGUUUCCACUUCCCCAUCCAACUCCUCAAAUGUCAUGGCUCUUUUUAGACCCUCCACCACCUCUCUCAUCUUUGGCCGGUCCCUCGCCUUCUUCGAGAGGCAACAAUUGGCCAGCAUUGCUAUUUCGCGUGCCGCCCUCAAAGAGUACUUCUUUUCGAGCCUCACAUCAAUGAUCCUGUUGAAGCGCUUACUAUCGGUUGGAUAUUGAUUCACCCAUUCUAAGAGUUUCUGCUCGUUUGGUGGGCGGUUUCUCUCAAAAGAGCGCCUGCCAGUAAGGAUCUCAUAUAAUACGACUCCAAAGCUCCAGACGUCGCUUUUGACAGUGAGAUGGCCGGUUUCAACAUAAUCCGGGUCGGCGUAGCCGUAGGUCCCUAGUACCUGGUAGACAACCACAACAAUGACAAAAAAAAAACUAACAAUGACAAUAGAUAGAUCACCAAACACAUAAAAGAGUAGUGAUGAAAACAAAAAUGAGGGCAAGGGCAAACACAAUUCUAGGGGUUUACUGGAAUCGUAGUUCCCAACUUAUUAUAACAUAGUGAUUUUUCUCGAACUUAUGUUUACUGUUCGCCUUCAUACAAUUAUAAUUCCUUUUUUUACAAAGUUAUGUACCAUUGUAUGCAUACUGAAACAGAAGAUCUGAUGCAUAUUUUCAAUCAAUAUUUUGUUUAGAUUUCGCAACUCCUGGUUUACAGAUGACUGCGAACAAGCUGAAGGUAGUAAGGAUUUUCAUACAUCAGGCUUCGUGAUUUCAACAAGUAUAGAUCCAAGAUAAGAACAUAAACAUCAAAUAAUAAAUUGAACCAAUUAAAUCAACUUAACUCAGCACAAAUUCCACUCAAGCCCUUCACAGAGUUUUGGAUAAAGAAUUUGGGUCCAACUUACAACAUAUUGUCACCUAAAUUGGAAGCUUAUAUAGUAUCUAAAUAGUUCAAAGCACCGGAACUAAUGAUGUUGCUUACGAAGUUGUGUAUCAAACUAUCAACAUAAAGCAGAAAAGCAAAAUUGAACAUAGAGCUACGACGUAUAGCAAAACUCAGUAGAUUAGAAAAUAAAACAGGACAUACCGCAGUGGAUACAUGAGUAUUGCCUGCUGACGGUCCCUCCCUCGCUAACCCGAAAUCCGAUAGUUUUGGCUUGAACUUCUCAUCUAAUAGCACAUUAGAUGCUUUAAAAUCACGAUAUAUAACCUAACAAAAUUCAUGGAAUUCAUAAUUAGAAGCCACGCAAGGAAUGCCUACAUUUGAAGAAGCGAAACAGAGCUGAAUAACCAAUUUCAGAUAAGCACAUUAACCAAAACACCGUGCCCUUUAGUACUAAUUGUUCUUGUUUGAGCAUUACAGAAAGUAAUCGUAGUACUUAUAUUCAUCAUGAAAUGAAAUAAUUUACAAAGGUACAGAAGAAUAAUUAGUAAUGCAAUCUGACGGGCCAAGUAAGAGGAGAUGGCACAAAAAUACAAUAAUACGAUAUACUGCAGCAUCUGAUAUUUUCAUCACUUCCUAAAUAAAGUUUUGGGAUUUGGUAAGUUUGAAACUGAUCCAAAGUCAAAGAGUCAGAUUGGAGUCCUCAGUUAUUGGGAUUACUUGGGCGUAUAACUUCAGAAAUUAAUGGUGAAAAUUGAUAAUUGAAAACAGUGAUCUAAGUUCGCUCCAAAAAGAAAACUAUAUCUAAUUGCCUACUUAGCCCACUCUUCAAAUAGCUUCAUUGCUCUCGAAGAAGAACGUGAAUGUUUGAGCAUCUAGAGCUCUUCUCUGGAGUGAGGAGGUAAAUUGUAACUUCUACACCGCAAAAGCAAAAGCUAAUUUCCAUGGAGUCACAUGAGUUUCGUUAACUAUGACUGUAUGGGAAUAAUGUUGUCAAUAGUGCCCAUAGGAAUCAGAAAAGGAAAAAGAACAGAAUAAGUUAAAGCGUAAAGUUAAAAAACCGAAACCUGGAUAUCUAGUCCUUCGUGCAGAUACAGCAACCCCUCUGCAGCACCCAAUGCUAUCUGUAGUCUUAUGUUCCAUGGAAGUGAAGGGUAGGCUUUGUUGAAUAAAUGAUCUCCUAGGGUCUUAUUAGACAUAAACUCGUACACCAACAGCCUUUGGACCACUCUUUCGCUAUCCACGGCACAGUAUCCAAUAAGCUUUACGAGAUUCGGAUGUUCAACAACACCAAGGAACUGAAGUUCUGCAAACCAUUCUUUAUGACCCUAUAAUAGAGGAGCAAAAACAAAAAAAAAAAAAAAAAAAAAAAAAGAGAAGCUAAUUUACAAUUGGAACCAAGUAUGAAUAGAAAUUGAUUUGUUUUAGUUCAUAGACCUUAUUUAAUUCUUGUUCUCACAAGUACAUUGUUUGGAAUCAUUAUCCCAUCAGAUUUCACAUUAUUUGGAAUGAUCUAAUGGAGCCUCUCAUAAUACAACCAAAUCCUAUGAAUUGAGCGCUAUUUGGUGAGAAGACAUUCACUAUUAGCAAUAAUAUAAUGUCAUGUUGAAUACAAAAAUAGUAGAGUACCAUUAUCUAGUAGCUUAAGUUGUUGAAGAACAAUGGUUGUUUCACAAUCUUUAACAUGGCAUCAAAGCAGGAGUUUCUCAGUUUGAUCCCACCAAGCUUCUAGCCCGAUUUAAUUUCGUCACAUUUAAUUUAAAUCCAAGCCGGGUGCCCACAUAAAAUUCUCAAUCCUAAACAUGAUGAGAGGGAGUGCUGAAUAUAAAAUACUAGAACAUUAUUUCCUCGUGCCUUAAGCUAUUGGAGAACAAACAAUGGUUGUUUCGCAUUCUUUACUCGAUAGCCCAUAGAAAAACCAAGCUUGCUUCCUAUUGAACAAAGGAAAAAAUUGAAAUCAAAGUAAUUUCUUCUCUUGUCCGAAUAAAUCGACACUUUUUUUUUGGGAAUCAAAUCCAAAAGGAACUCAAUUGAUUACAGUUCAGAAAUUGUUUACUCAUAAAACAAAAGUUCCUUGACUUGAGGUGAGAUUUGUUGGGAAUACUUUUCCUGUUAUUGAUAUUAUGUAUCAAUAGCCCAAAAAUAUUAUCUAACAUAGGGUAGUUAAGAAAAAUAAGAAGUAAACACUGGAAAUGAUUUCACAUCUGUUCCCAAACAACUGUGUGGAAUGGAAAUCAAAUCAAGUCAAAUUUGUCCCAAACUCUCAACAGAGACAAGCACAAAUCCUGUGAGUGACAGAGACCAACAUUAAGAACUUUUUCAUGCAUCAUGUUAACCUUGAAUCAAAACAAUGAUCAAGAGAGGAUGAGACAACCAUACCUGCAAGCCAUUCGGGUUGAGUUUCUUCACUGCCACAACAAUGCUAUCACCUUUCCCAUUAGCAGGCUUGAUGAAACCUUUAUACACACUCCCAAACCCUCCUUCCCCAAUCUUGAGCAUCCUGCUGAAGCCAUCAGUAGCAUCCCUGAGCUCCUUGAAUUCGAAUGCUCGCAAAUUGCGCAAUCUCUUCUCACAAAGGCCAUUAGAUUUCCUCUUGUUCUUGUAUUUCUCCUUUGAGCAAUAGAAACAGCCCAUUUAGUUUUUCUUUUUCUUUUUUCUUUUUUUUUUAAAUUUUUUGGAAAGCCAAUUUUCACCACUCUUUGCAGGUUUCAAGAGCUGCUGCAGAUGUUCUGCUCACUUGAGUUGGGGUCAGAGUGUGAAUCAAGAAGUGAACAAAUUCAGAUGCACAGAAGGUAAAGGGACAAAGAAUUGAGGAGCCUAAGGCAGCAGCAGGUAAGGGGCUAUGGAGAGAGAUUUGAUGGAAUGAUAUCAAGCUUCUUGGGGAGUUGGGGGAAGGCUCAAAAAGUAUGCAGUUAAUGAGAGAGAGAGAGAGAGAGAGAGAGAGAGAGAGAGAUGAAAGGAAACAGGGGAGGAUGGGUAGCUGAAAGGGGGCAAGUUUCAAAGGAAAUCGAUAAAAAAGAAUAAAAGUGUUUUUUUGCAUUUUGCCCUCUCAAAAAAAAUUAUUUUUACAAAUAAUCUCAAAAAAUUUAUAAUUAUAAUUUUAGCCCUAUUCCUAUCACGCAGGCGCCACGUAAGCGCCACGCAAACAAAGGUGGAGGUGCUGGAAUAAGUUGAAUUCACCGUAUUUAGAAAAAAUAUAUGUAAGAAUAUAAGUAUGGAACGCGGUAUAUCAUUCACCGUGUUUAAAAUACGGUGAAUGGUUCACCGUGUUCAACUUAAAACUCCUCCCCAACCAACUUGUGUGGCACUGAUGUAGCGUCUGUGUAGUAGGAAUAGAGCCAAAAUUUUAAUUAUAAAUUUAAUAGGGCUAUUUGUGAGAAAAAAAAAUUUUGAAGGGGCCAAAUGCAAAAAAAAAAGCCGGGAAUAACAAGAUUUUAAUGAAACAAAUAAUAAUGUUAUAUUAGAUCUUUUUCAUACAAGUAAUGCUGCCUGUACUGCACUUAUUAGGCCCAUUUGAUGGGAAAUAAAGCCGAAAUGAUGAAAAGUUAUUUCUGUUAUUUCAUCUGAGAUUUGUUUUUGGUUGAAAUGUUUUAUUCCGAUCAAAUUUUACUAUUUUCAGCAAUUUCGAAACAAUUUGGAAUAAACUAAUUCAUUCUUUUUGAUUUGAAAUUUUAUUAAAAUUAUAAAUUAAAUAAAAUUAUGUAGACAUGAUAUAUUAUAUAUUAUGAUAAAUUAUUUUUAUUAUAAAAUUAAAUUAAAUUAUUCUUAGUAAAUAUUAUUUACUGUUUUUCACUAUUUUUUACUAUUUUAUAAAAUUAGCCAAACAUAAUUUUAGUUUUUUUUAGGGAAUAGCAGCACAACAAAUAAAACAUAAUUUUUUUUCUAUUCCUGACUGCCCUAAAAUAAUAAGCUAUUCGAGAAAUAAAAAAAUUUAUCUCGAUUUUUAUUCCCAAACCAAAUAGGGUCUUACGUGUAUAAAUAUAAAUCUUACAUUCUAACAUCUCAAAGGUUUAUAUUGAUUCACAAUAUUUAUCAAUCUUNAUAUAAAAUAAUUAGAUAACAAAUUUUGAAUUUUUUAUUAACUUAGCAUCAGAAACCGACCAUACAUAACGUAGUUGAUUAAUAACUUAAUUGUUGAUAUUCAAAAUUCAAAAUUUGUUAUCUAAUUAUUUUAUAUUUCUAAUUGAGUUUAUUUCUAAAAAAUAAAUAAAACAAAUAGCUUGUUAACUUUCUUUCAAAAAAAAAAAAAAUCAAAGAAAACAUACCAACAGAGCUAAUUUUAAGCUUUUCUGUCCUAUAAGGACGUGGGUUAGUUUUAAUCCUCAUUUCUAAAAUUCAUUAAUGGUUUAGGCUAAAUUACAGAAAAUUCUCCUGUCAAAAUUCGAUUUUUCACUUUCCCCCAUAUUAUUUAAAAAUCUAUAUUUUGCUCUCUUAUAAAAUGAAAAAUAUGCACUUCACUCCUUACCGUUACCGUUAGGAUUCCGUUAUAAAAUAUUUUUUUAUACCAAAAAUACCCCUCCGUCCUUUUCCUGUUGCUUCGCCUCCCUCCGGCUCGCCGCCUCGCCGCCGCCGCGCCACCUGGCCGCCUCGCCCUCCUCCACUGCCUCGCCCUCGCCCACAUCGCCUUCGCCCUCCUCCGCCGCCUCGCCUUCGCCUUUGUUGCCCUUACCUACCUCUCCAUCAACGUCCGCCUCGAUUUCUUCCUUACUGUCGCCGAAAUCGAGGGGCGGUGAGGGUGCAGGAGGAGAAGGGGAGCAGGUGGAGAAGAAAAUUGAGAGAAAUCGCGGCCAAUUAAGGUGUGAAUCGCGGCCGAUCGAAGCGGCGGUUAAGAAAGAUGAUGGAGACGAAAAUGGUGAGGAACAAAAUGGCCAUUUUACACACCAUAUCUCCAUGUGAAUUUUCUAUUUUACAAGAGGGCAAAGUGUAGGUUUUUAAAUGACAGAGGAGAAAGUGAAAAAUCGAAUUUUGACAGAAGGUUUUAUGUAAUUUAACCAAUGAUUUAUUUAAUAUGUUAAAUUUUUAUCAUUAUUUUAUACGUUAAAUUCAUGUAUUUUUCAAAUUCAUCAUGCACCUUACUAAAUACGUUAAAUAUGUUUCCGAGCCAUUUCUUAAUCUAUUCAAAGACUACCCAACAGACACAGUGUCGCAAUUUGAAAAAAAAACCAAACGGGCAACAUUAAUUUAUUUAAUUUAAAUAGAUUAAAGUUUAUCUCUUAUUUUAUAAGUCAAUUCUAUCGUACCUGUUAAAUUCCUCGUGCAUAUAAACAAAAAUAUUAAAUAUAUUUUUGAGCAAUUCUUUUAUAUAAAAAAAAGAUAAACAUCAAAUAUCACCCUUACAAUUUUUCACUUUCUCACUUUAAUUCCAUAUGGCUUAAAGUGUAUCAAUUUAAUACCUUAUAGUUUUAUUUUUCUCUUUUCGUUAGCUCUUCAUUAAUUUUUUGUUAAAUUAUAUAUAAAAAGCUUCAGUUUAUCGAAUAUUCAUUUUAGUACCUUUUAGUUUUAAUUUUGUUACUGAUUUAACGUAAAAAAUUAGUGAAGGGGACAACAAAAAAAUAAAAUAAAAUCACAACAGAGUACAAAAAUAAUACACUUUAAAAUAUAGCGUAUUAAAGUAGAAACGUCCGAAAGCACGGGUGGCAUUUGAAGUUUUUUCAAAAAAAAAAAAAAA